GUGCCAGCCGCCGCGGUAAGACGAACCGUGCAAACGUUGUUCGGAAUCACUGGGCUUAAAGGGCGCGUAGGCGGGUUCCCAAGUCGGUGGUGAAAUCUUUCAGCUCAACUGGAAAAGUGCCGCCGAUACUGGGAGUCUUGAGGGAGGUAGGGGUCGAUGGAACUGGUGGUGGAGCGGUGAAAUGCGUAGAUAUCACUAGGAACGCCGGUGGCGAAAGCGAUCGACUGGACCUCUUCUGACGCUGAGGCGCGAAAGCCAGGGGAGCAAACGGGAUUAGAUACCCCGGUAGUCC
rnacentral:rRNA from 1 species